UUCAAGCAUUGCGGAAUCUUCGAAGUGAAGACUCGACGAACGCCGCCCAGCCCGACCGAAUCCUCCUAUCAGCCUCCUUCUUGAAGUUGUUGCGGCUUAGUUGGAUAGUAUGGCCUAGUUCAUACAGAUGCCGACAAGUCAGGAGGACUUGCUAAGGCCGGCCAGCAUUCGACCUAACUCAUCCAACAUCUCCGCAGCAAUAAUGACAUAUGAAUAAUGAAAUUACAUGUAAAGUGUUAUUGGUCAAUUUACUAUGGUUAAUAAUUAAUUUUAGUAGUCUUUUGUUAAUAGAUACGUUAAAUAGAUGAAAAAAUAAUUA